UACGUAGGGUGCGAGCGUUAAUCGGAAUUACUGGGCGUAAAGCGUGCGCAGGCGGUUCGUUGUGUCGGCGGUGAAAGCCCCGGGCUCAACCUGGGAAUGGCCGUUGAAACUGGCGAACUGGAGUGUGGCAGAGGGGGGGUAGAAUUCCACGUGUAGCAGUGAAAUGCGUAGAGAUGUGGAGGAAUACCGAUGGCGAAGGCAGCCCCCUGGGUCAAGAUUGACGCUCAUGCCACGAAAGGCGUGGGGAGCAAACAGG
rnacentral:rRNA from 1 species